CCUACCGAUUGGAUUGACGUUGCCCCAGUAGGUCUCGACUUGUGGGUGCUGCAACGGAUCACCGUACACCUCACUGGUGCUCGUUAGCAAAAACCGCGCACCGACUCUCUUGGCCAGUCCCAGCAUGUUCAACGUCCCGACCACAUUCGUCUUGUGCGAAACCGAAAUUAAGGAUUCACACAAAUUUCACCACAAUUAAUCAAAUAAAAAAAAAAAAACUGCGGUGCAGUUGAUGAACCAAAAACCCAGGCGAGAAAUUGAAGAUUGAAACAGUAAAUGCAUAAAAGGAAAUUGAAGGAUAUGAUUGUCUUAACGGGGUUGUGCUUGUAAUGAACGGGCGAGGCGGGGCAGGCGAGAUGGUAGAUCUGGUCGACUUCCAAGAGGAGCGGCUCGACGACGUCGUGUCGAAUGAGCUCGAACCUCGGAUUCCUGAAGUGGUG
rnacentral:lncRNA from 1 species